AUUGAACGCUGGCGGCAUGCUUUACACAUGCAAGUCGAGCGGCAGCGCGGGGGCAACCCUGGCGGCGAGCGGCGAACGGGUGAGUAAUGCAUCGGAACGUACCCUGGAGUGGGGGAUAACGCCGCGAAAGCGGCGCUAAUACCGCAUAUGCUCUGAGGAGGAAAGUGGGGGACCGCAAGGCCUCACGCUCUGGGAGCGGCCGAUGUCCGAUUAGCUAGUUGGUGGGGUAAAGGCUCACCAAGGCGACGAUCGGUAGCUGGUCUGAGAGGAUGAUCAGCCACACUGGGACUGAGACACGGCCCAGACUCCUACGGGAGGCAGCAGUGGGGAAUUUUGGACAAUGGGGGCAACCCUGAUCCAGCCAUGCCGCGUGAGUGAAGAAGGCCUUCGGGUUGUAAAGCUCUUUUGGUCGGGAAGAAAGUGCCUUGCCUAAUAAGCGAGGUAUUUGACGGUACCGGCAGAAUAAGCACCGGCUAACUACGUG
rnacentral:rRNA from 1 species